rnacentral:lncRNA from 1 species
UACUUUAUGCAUGAUCGAAAAGGAAAGAAAGGUUGGAUGGUCAUUAAGGUGGAUUUGUAAAAGACAUACGACUGUGUUUGUUGGAAUUAUAUAGAAGAUUCCUCGGUGUGGAUGUUGGAAUGUUGGCUAAGCUUAUCUGCUUAAUUAUGCAUUAUGUCAUCACUUCAUCUAUGCAGGUGAUAUAGAAUGGCACAUUAUAUAUACAUGACUUGUAUAUUUUGAUGGAAGUAAAUGUCUAAAUUCGAAUAGAUAAGGAGUU